rnacentral:lncRNA from 1 species
CAACUGAGAUUCUCUCCCUUGCGCAUGCCCUAGACCCAUGCCACCUAUUACACAUAAAAAGGAGUUUUUUGUGAGAACUUUUGGCAUGAGAAAGGAGGGCACAGAGAGGGGUGGGCGACACUCAUGAUGAGUCAUGAAUCUUAUCUUAUUCCUUAUUUGAAUUUGAUUCAAAUUAAAGAUAAGAAGAUAAGAAUGAAAGAAAUCAAGUUUCAUGGGA